AGUGAACGCUGGCGGUAGGCCUAACACAUGCAAGUCGAACGGCAGCACAGGAGAGCUUGCUCUCUGGGUGGCGAGUGGCGGACGGGUGAGGAAUACAUCGGAAUCUACUCUGUCGUGGGGGAUAACGUAGGGAAACUUACGCUAAUACCGCAUACGACCUACGGGUGAAAGCAGGGGACCUUCGGGCCUUGCGCGAUUGAAUGAGCCGAUGUCGGAUUAGCUAGUUGGCGGGGUAAAGGCCCACCAAGGCGACGAUCCGUAGCUGGUCUGGGAGGAUGAUCAGCCACACUGGACCUGAGACACGGUCCAGACUCCUACGGGAGGCAGCAGUGGGGAAUAUUGGACAAUGGGCGCAAGCCUGAUCCAGCCAUACCGCGUGGGUGAAGAAGGCCUUCGGGUUGUAAAGCCCUUUUAUUGGGAAAGAAAUCCAGCUGGCUAAUACCCGGUUGGGAUGACGGUACCCAAAGAAUAAGCACCGGCUAACUUCGUGCCAGCAGCCGCAGUAA
rnacentral:rRNA from 1 species